rnacentral:lncRNA from 1 species
GAUCGCCAAGGGAGGAAACCGUAACGACCAAAUGAAGAUUUUCAAGACAAUUAUUGUAUUGGCUCUUUCUAUUGUAGCGACAAGAUGUCACAAGGAAGUGAAUAUUUCCAGUUUGUCUGACCUUGCUAAGUUCCAAAACCCAUGGAAGGUGAUCAACAAUACAAUGGAUGUUUACCUCGCACGUGUCUCGGGCGUUGCUAAGGAAACAGCA